CCUACGGGAGGCUGCAGUGAGGAAUAUUGGUCAAUGGACGAGAGUCUGAACCAGCCAAGUAGCGUGAAGGAUGACUGCCCUAUGGGUUGUAAACUUCUUUUAUAUGGGAAUAAAAUGUUCCACGUGUGGGCUUUUGUAUGUACCCUAUGAAUAAGGAUCGGCUAACUCCGUGCCAGCAGCCGCGGUAAUACGGAGGAUCCGAGCGUUAUCCGGAUUUAUUGGGUUUAAAGGGAGCGUAGGUGGAGUGUUAAGUCAGUUGUGAAAGUUUGCGGCUCAACCGUAAAAUUGCAGUUGAAACUGGCAGUCUUGAGUACAGUAGAGGUGGGCGGAAUUCGUGGUGUAGCGGUGAAAUGCUUAGAGAUCACGAAGAACUCCGAUUGCGAAGGCAGCUCACUGGACUGCAACUGACACUGAGGCUCGAAAGUGUGGGUAUCAAACAGGAUUAGAUACCCUAGUAGUC
rnacentral:rRNA from 1 species